GAUGAAGAACGCAGCGAAAUGCGAUACGUAAUGUGAAUUGCAGAAUUCAGUGAAUCUUCGAGUCUUUGAACGCACAUUGCGCCCCCUGGUAUUCCGGGGGGCAUGCCUGUCCGAGCGUCAUUGCUGCCCUCAAGCACGGCUUGUGUGUUGGGCCUCCGUCCUCCUCCCGGGGGGCGGGCCCGAAAGGCAGCGGCGGCACCGCGUCCGGUCCUCGAGCGUAUGGGGCUUCGUCACCCGCUCUUGUAGGCCCGGCCGGCGCUUGCCGACACAUCAAUCUUUUUUCCAGGUUGACCUCGGAUCAGGUAGGGAUACCCGCUGAACUUAAGCAUAUCAAUAAGCGGAGGA
rnacentral:misc_RNA from 1 species